rnacentral:tRNA from 1 species
GGGGCUGUAGCUCAGGGGUAGAGUGCCCACCUUGCACGUGUGAGGCACUGGGUUCGAUCCUCAGCACUA